UACAGAGGGUGCAAGCGUUGCUCGGAAUUAUUGGGCGUAAAGGGUAGGUAGGUGGUCUCGUUUGUCUGAGGUGAAAGCCCUGGGCUUAACCUGGGAAGUGCCUUGGAAACGGCGAGACUUGAAUACUGGAGAGGGUCGCGGAAUACCUGGUGUAGCGGUGAAAUGCGUAGAGAUCAGGUGGAAUACCAGAGGCGAAGGCGGCGACCUGGACAGUUAUUGACACUCAACUACGAAAGCGUGGGGAUCAAACAGG
rnacentral:rRNA from 1 species